rnacentral:rRNA from 1 species
AGGAUAAACGCUGGCGGCGUGCCUAACACAUGCAAGUCGAACGUCUCUUUCUUCGGGAAGAGGAGUGGCGGACGGGUGAGGAACACGUGGGAACCUGCCCUUCAGUGAGGAAUACCGGCGAGAAAUCGCCGACAAGACCGCAUAGCCCUCUCUGGUGAGAGCCAGAGAAGGAAAGCCUCGCAAGAGGCGCUGGAGGAGGGGCCUGCGUCCGAUUAGCUAGUUGGUGGGGUAAGAGCCUACCAAGGCGUCGAUCGGUAGCUGGUCUGAGAGGACGAUCAGCCACACUGGGAUUGAGAACGGCCCAGACUCCUACGGGGGGCAGCAGUGAGGAAUUUUCGGCAAUGGGGGAAACCCUGACCGAGCAACGCCGCGUGCAGGAAGACGGCCUUCGGGUUGUAAACUGCUUUUCUUUGGUACGAGCAAGGACGGUACCAGAGGAAUCAGCCCGGCUCACUACGUGCCAGCAGCCGC